rnacentral:rRNA from 1 species
AAUCAACGCUGGCGGCGUGCCUCAGACAUGCAAGUCGAACGCGAAAGUUCCCUUCGGGGGAUAAGUAGAGUGGCGUCCGGGUGAGUAACACGUAGGUAAUCUACCUUUGGGUGGGGAAUAACAACCGGAAACGGUUGCUAAUACCGCAUAAUGCAGCGGCACCACAUGGUGACAGUUGUUAAAGCGGGGGAUCGCAAGACCUCGCGCCUAAAGAGGAGCCUGCGGCGGAUUAGCUAGUUGGAGGGUAACGGCCUACCAAGGCAACGAUCCGUAGCCGGCCUGAGAGGGGCGGUCGGCCACACUGACACUGAAAUACGGGUCAGACUCCUACGGGAGGCAGCAGUCGGGAAUUUUGGGCAAUGGGCGAAAGCCUGACCCAGCAACGCCGC